rnacentral:lncRNA from 1 species
AGAACAGGUAUUUAAGAGCCUACUAUGUGUCAGAUGUGCUACAUUAUACAAUCAUUUUCUCAUUUUAUCCUGACAACAAUCAUGUGAAGCAUCCUGCCCCUGUGGAGACUCACUUGGAAAACGAAGUUGAAUGUCACAGGCACCAGAGACCCAAACACAGAGGCCCAUGUGAGAAUGAAGACAGUGAAUGAAGAAUGAAAGAAUGAAGAAUGAGGAAAGAAAGAAGAUGAAGACAGUGAUCUUCUUUAUCAUCCUCUUUAUACUGUACUUUGGGGGCUCCCUUCUCAUCAUCAAGAGCUACUCUUCAUCUGUUAUUAGUCAUUAAAGUUCAAUGGCAAGAAAAAAGUCAAGAUAUCUGGAGCUUGUCCUGGAUGUCAUGGAUGACCUUGGCAUCCUCAAUGUCUGACCAAGCCUUAAGCAUUACCCUAGAGCCUCCUUCAUCCUCCUUCAUUGGCAUUGAAACAAAUUCUUCUCAUCUACCCAUUCUUCCUGGAGAAGUCAUUACAUAGCAGACAUGUACACGAUCAAGAAAAAAAAAACAACAACAAGAAUAUGUCUGCCUGAAUUAACGUGACCAACAGACUGAGAUGGAAAUCAUUGUGAAAGCAACCACUUGUCAGAAGCUUAUUAUGAUUUCAUCCUCCCCAAGAAAUGCUUAGUUUUUUAAAGGACAUUUUGUGGGCUAGUAAAAUGGACACAGAUAUAGGUUUGGGUAUGUAGUAGGGGAAGUGAGAAGAAUGAGGAUUAAAAAUGAGACCUGAACAAUAAGUAGUAGGGAUUCAUUACUUUAGAGUCACU